rnacentral:rRNA from 1 species
UACGUAGGGGGCAAGCGUUGUCCGGAAUCAUUGGGCGUAAAGCGCGCGUAGGCGGCCCGGUAAGUCCGUUGUGAAAGUCAAAGGCUCAACCUUUGAAUGCCGAUGGAUACUGCCGGGCUAGAGGACGGUAGAGGCGAGUGGAAUUCCCGGUGUAGCGGUGAAAUGCGCAGAUAUCGGGAGGAACACCAGUAGCGAAGGCGGCUCGCUGGGCCGUUCCUGACGCUGAGACGCGAAAGCUAGGGGAGCGAACAGG